rnacentral:rRNA from 1 species
CCUACGGGGGGCUGCAGUGGGGAAUAUUGCACAAUGGGCGCAAGCCUGAUGCAGCCAUGCCGCGUGUGUGAAGAAGGCCUUCGGGUUGUAAAGCACUUUCAGCGGGGAGGAAGGCGUUAAGGUUAAUAACCUUGUCGAUUGACGUUACCCGCAGAAGAAGCACCGGCUAACUCCGUGCCAGCAGCCGCGGUAAUACGGAGGGUGCAAGCGUUAAUCGGAAUUACUGGGCGUAAAGCGCACGCAGGCGGUCUGUCAAGUCGGAUGUGAAAUCCCCGGGCUCAACCUGGGAACUGCAUUCGAAACUGGCAGGCUAGAGUCUUGUAGAGGGGGGUAGAAUUCCAGGUGUAGCGGUGAAAUGCGUAGAGAUCUGGAGGAAUACCGGUGGCGAGGGCGGCCCCCUGACAAAGACUGACGCUCAGGUGCGAAAGCGUGGGGAGCAAACAGGAUUAGAUACCCUAGUAGUC